rnacentral:rRNA from 1 species
ACGAACGCUGGCGGCGUGCCUAAUACAUGCAAGUCGAACGGUCUUUCUAUGGAAGCUUGCUUCCACUGAGAAGAUAGUGGCGGACGGGUGAGUAACACGUGGGUAACCUGCCCAUAAGAGGGGGGAUAACAUCCGGAAACGGGUGCUAAUACCGCAUAGUUUUCUUGAUCGCAUGAUUGAGAAAGGAAAGACGGCCUUUGUGCUGUCGCUUAUGGAUGGACCCGCGGCGUAUUAGUUAGUUGGUGAGGUAAUGGCUCACCAAGACGAUGAUACGUAGCCGACCUGAGAGGGUGAUCGGCCACAUUGGGACUGAGACACGGCCCAAACUCCUACGGGAGGCAGCAGUAGGGAAUCUUCCGCAAUGGACGAAAGUCUGACGGAGCAACGCCGCGUGAGUGAAGAAAGGUUUUCGGAUCGUAAAACUCUGUUGUCAGAGAAGAACAAGUUGGAGAGUAACUGCUCCAGCCUUGACGGUAUCUGACCAGAAAGCCACGGCUAACUACGUGCCAGCCGCCGC